CCAGCUCUCGUGUCCCCGCCCCGUCUUGUCAUGGACUCUGAGUGACAGCCGAGUCUCCUCCCUCUGUCACCGCCCCUACCCUAUUGUCACCGCCCAGUCUUCUCCUCCUGACUUUCACGCUUCUAGAGCUCGGUGACGUGUUCUGGAUGUUGUGGCGUAAUGCGGGAGUGACGGUGACCGGCAGUGAGUUACUAUUCCUAAUGGAUAUUCGGAACGCCGGUCUCACUCGCUGGGAUGUGACGGGCACUCUAAUCAAAGAUACCCUAUCUACAUUCUCCAUUGGUGAAUUUUGAAAGGGACGUUGUUCUCCGAUCAAGCCAACUAAAGACGUCCUUUCUUACGCCUCUGUAGAGUUAACAAAAGCUAUUUUUAUUUAGAGGAGUGUAGAAAACUAACAAAGUUGUUACUCUUCGAAGAAAUGAAUCACAAAAGAGAGAAAACACUUCAGUGCUCGGAGUGUGACUUACGCUUUGCGGCUAAAACACAUCUUCUCAUACAUAAGAGGAUUCACACAGGAGAGAAACCAUAUCUGUGCUCUGUGUGUGACAAAACCUUCACACGUAAAACACAGCUUGACGUACAUCAGAGGAAUCACACAGGAGAGCAACCAUUUAAAUGUUCUGAGUGUAGCAAGUGUUUUUCCCGGAACUUAGGUCUUGUUGUACAUCAGAUGAUUCACACGGGAGAGAAACCAUUUAAAUGCUCUGACUGCAGCAAGUGUUUUACCUCUAAGCGACAGCUUGUUACACAUCAGUGGAAUCACACAGGACAGAAACCAUUUACAUGCUCUCAAUGUAGCAAGUGUUUUUCCAAUAAGGCACAUCUUGUCAGUCAUCAGAGGGUUCACACAGGAGAGAAACCAUUUACAUGCUCUGAAUGCAGUAAGUGUUUUUCAGAGAAGUCAAAUCUCGUUAGACAUCAGAAGAGUCACACAGGUGAGAAGCACUUUAAAUGUUGAGUGCAGCAAGUGUUUUACCAAGAAGAAAACAUUUAUUACUCACAUGAGGAGUCACUCUAAUGCUUAGAACGUGGCACGUGUUUCAUACGUUAACUUGUAUUAUGUCAGUGGGCCUGAUUCUGAGAUGGAAGCAUAGAAUGAGAAAGCAAGAAACUUUGCACCUGGACAAACCCAUGUUGCAAUGCAAAGGGUGCAAAUACAUUUGUAAUUUUUGCCAUGAUGUAAGUUCCUUUCUUUUUCCUGUACUCUCUGAAGUUCCCCCAAUAUUCCUUAUAGAAAGGCAAUUUUAAUUUUUUUUUUUUUUUAUAAUGACAAGUUUUUAUAGAAUCUCAUGCAGGUGCUGUGAGGAGUUAGGUAUGCCGUCAGUCAACAUACCUUCGUCGGUAUCCCGGCAGCGGAAUGCCGGCGGGGAGGGAUUUUCAGGGGGUGGGAUGUCGGCAUGCCGACCGUCGGGAUUAUCAGGGGGUGGGAUGUAGAGGAAAGCUUUCUGUCCAGUAGAGUGUUCCAGCAUCUCCUCUCAGUACUGGGAUUCUAUCCAUUACAGGCAGUGCUAUAAGUACUGCUUAUUUCUAUAGGAACUCUGUAUGCGUCUCUGUUUUACCCUAUGUGUUAUAUUUAGUAAACUGUUAUUCAAAGCUGACAAUACUUAGUGCGUAACCCCUGCUGGAUAUUAAAGUUCAGUAGUACUACACAUAAAAUCAGACUUGUUUUGUUUGUAUUUCUAUUGCUCUAUUAAAAUCCAGCACUCAAGGUAAUUAGAAUCAGUGACUUUGAAAAAAGUAAUAAAUAUACCCUUACAAGUCU